rnacentral:tRNA from 1 species
GAGAGAGGCUCGCCAGCAACGUGGACUGCUAACCUUCGACACCUUGGUUGGACUCCAAGGCUCACUCG